CAAAAACAUAGCCACAUGACACAUACGUGGUAUUUUCUGCUCAAUGAUUUUUAAAUAGCCGCAGUACCUUGACUGUGCAAAGGUAGCGCAAUCAAUUGUCUUUUAAAUGGAGUCCUGUAUGAAUGAAUAUAUAAGGGAUCACUAUAUCAACAGUGUUUAUUGAACUUGCUGAUUGAGUGCAAAUUCUCAAGUAUAAAUAAAAGACGAGAAGACCCUUGAAAUUUUAAGUAGUGCUUUUUGUUGGGGCAACAAAGUAACAUAUAAUUUACUAACAUUACAUGACCAGUAUAUUAAGAUGGAUUAAAUUACUCUAGGGAUAACAGCAUAAUUUUAAAUAGUUUGUGACCUCGAUGUUGGACUAGGAGUAUGUAGCUUAGAAGGCGACCAUCAUUUGCUCUGUUCGAGC
rnacentral:rRNA from 1 species